CCCCCUCUCCCCCCUCUCCCCGCGGCCACGCGCGGCGUGGAAAUGCCACUCAGCGUCCCCCCUCGUCCUCCCCGUCCCCUCCGCCGCCGUCCCCGCCGUUACAUUGACGCAGCGGCUCCUGGUCGCCGGGUCCGCCGUGGCGGAGCUAUAGCAGCAGGGCAGCAGCAGCAGCCGCCGCCGUCGUGGCCCCUCCGCCGCCGCCUCCCGCCGCCGGGCGCACAUGAAGAUUGCGUACGCCAGGACAGUCGCGAGGGAGAGUAGGCGCAAUGUGAAGCAGAUGAGCGAGUAAAUCAUGAAGCCGCCGUACAUGUUCUGCAUACUGCAAACGAGGAGCUAAUUUCCUGGCAGCCGCCUUCAGGAUGCUUCAAGCCCGUCUCUGCCGAUGUGGCCCUUAAAAACCUCUCAAGCUGUGGCUGCAAGCAGCCCUGUUCCUUUCUGACUUUGGCAUCUAAUUCCUGCAAAUAUAGAUAAUUGAAUUAUG